rnacentral:lncRNA from 10 species
AGGUGCUGCUGCCGCGGCCGCCAGGGAGGGAGGUGUCGGAGGGCGGGCCCCGCGCGGUGCUAGGGUUCCGUCUGGACUGGCGGUGGUGGGUCCCAACCGGCGGUACCGGGUUCCUUCCCGACCAGCGGUGCUAGGUUCGGUUCGGACGCGCGCUGCUGGAUCUAAAUGGGCAGUGCUGGGUCCGAUGGGUGGUGCUGUGUUGGGUCCGGACGCGCGGUGCAGAGUCCGGACGGGCGGUGCUGGAUCCAAAUGGGCGGUGCUGGAUCUGGACGGGCGGUGAUGGGUCCGAUGGGCGGUGCUAUGUUCGGUUCGGACGGGCGGUGCUAGGUCUAAAUGGGCGCUGCUGGGUCCGAUGGGCGGUGCUGCGUUCGGUCCGGACGGGCGGGGACGGGCGGUGCUGGGUCCAAAUGGGUGGUGAUGGAUCUGUGGACGGGCGGUGCUGGUUCCAGACGGGCGGUGCUGGGUCCAGACGGGCGGUGGGUCCGAUGGGCGGUGCUAGGUUCGGUUCGGAUGGGUGGUGCUAGGUCUAAAUGGGCGGCGCCGGAUCCGAUGGGCGGUGCUGGGUUCGGUCCGGACUGGCGGGUCCGGGUCUGGACGGGCGGUGCUGGAUCCAAAUGGGGGUGCAGUGCUGGAUCUGGACGGGCGGUGCUGGGUCCGAACGGGCGAUGGGUCCCAUGGGCGGUGCUAGGUUCGGUUCGGACUGGCGGUGCUGGGUCUAAAUGGGCGGCGCUGGGUCCGAUGGGUGGUACUGGGUCCGGACGGGCGGUUCUGGGUCUGGACGGGCGGUGCAGUAUCCAAAUGGGCGCUGCUGGGUCCGGACGGGCGGUGCUAGGUUCGGUCCGGACGGGUGGUGCUGGGUCUAAAUGGGCGGUGCUAGGCUCAGCAGGGGACCGGUGGGCGUGGCGGCACAGGUACGGAGCGCAGGGCCGGUGGAGCGCCCUCUCCGAAGGGCCCUGCGCUCCCCGCGCUCGCUGCUCCUCCUGCCCGCGCAUUGCCCCGGGGCUGCUGCGUGUUUCUUCCAGGGUGAUUCCUUUCCGCUGGGUCACUUCAAAGCCGACCUUUUCAAGCUGUUUUCUUCCGCGGAGGACACGUUGUUAGGCUUUGUGUGCAUUUCAAGGGUCAUGUUUUCUGAACCGCGCUCUGCCGCUCUUGGGGUGUUCGAGCCCCCACACUGCUGUGCGGUGUUCCUCUCACAGAGUGAGGUUGGAGGGUCCCACUCCCUUUGUGUGUCUCCUUAGAAAACGCCUCUUCUCUCAGACACAUCGUUAUCUGCCAAUUCUUCGCAGACGUAGAGAACGGACUGCAGAGUUAAUAAACGUCGAGGGGAAGCUUUGAUGCGCCCCAUUUGGCCCUGAGAGAUGCCACGUGAUCGUCAUUUUAAAUCCUGUACGUGUCCCCGUGGACGUGGAAACCUGAAAUUAAUUUCAGUAGCAAGCUUUGUGAAUUGUAGGGAUUUUUUUUCAUAAGGUGUCUUUUUUGUAAUUGCCCCUCCCCUCCCCCACCCUUUGUUUUGGCUGCAGAGCGCCAUCUCUGCAGUCUCCCCACGCCGGGUUCAGUCAGGCGAAGUUGCGUUAUCUGUGAUGUGUUGUAACAAAAAGCGUUUAUCUUUGAAACACUAAGGCAAGUAAUGAGAAGAGUGAACUAUAUUUGACAAAGCCUUUUUAUUUUUGUCAUUACUUUUUUUUCCAAUGUGGAAAUAAUUUUUCUCUCCACCAACUGGAUUUCCUCUUUUGCAGACAAUUAAAGAAUUCUGUCAUCCCCA